UCCAUCGCGAGGUGGAAUCUGAAAGAAGCGUGAUGAGCAAAGUUCCGGCCAGAGGAACACGAACCGUAUCACGGCCCGGUGCACCUGCCCGAUGGAGGCGGCGGCCAGCGGUUCGGGAUCAAACCCGCCGAAAAGCUC
rfam:Desulfotomaculum sp. 46_296 MPI_scaffold_41, whole genome shotgun sequence.